UAGGGAAUAUUGGUCAAUGGAUGCAAGUCUGAACCAGCCAUGCCGCGUGCAGGAAGAAGGCCUUCUGGGUCGUAAACUGCUUUUGCCAGGGGAUAAAAUGGGCGUGCGCGCUUAAUUGAAGGUACCUGGUGAAUAAGCCACGGCUAACUACGUGCCAGCAGCCGCGGUAAUACGUAGGUGGCAAGCGUUGUCCGGAUUUAUUGGGUUUAAAGGGUGCGUAGGUGGUCCUAUAAGUCAGUGCUGAAAUAUCCCGGCUUAACCGGGAGGGUGGCAUUGAUACUGCAGGACUUGAGUAAAGUUGAGGUAGGCGGAAUUGACGGUGUAGCGGUGAAAUGCUUAGAUAUCGUCAAGAACACCUAUUGCGAAGGCAGCUUACUAAGCUUUAACUGACACUGAGGCACGAAAGUGUGGGGAUCAAACAG
rnacentral:rRNA from 1 species